AGAUUUUCAGGUCACCUGGUAAACCGCUUGUGCCUGCUGUUUCUGGACGAGUCCAAGAUUUCUUUAAUUUUGCUUCUCAAGCAAAUACUCAGGCACUUUUAGGUUGAGACACCAUUGAUCUUCAACUGCUAAUUAUGGACACCAUUACUAUUUUUG